UACAGAGGGUGCAAGCGUUGUUCGGAAUUAUUGGGCGUAAAGGGCGCGUAGGCGGUGCGGUAAGUCUUUUGUGAAAUCUCCGGGCUCAACUCGGAGUCUGCAGGAGAAACUGCCGUGCUGGAGUAUGGGAGAGGUGAGUGGAAUUCCCGGUGUAGCGGUGAAAUGCGUAGAUAUCGGGAGGAACGCCUGUGGCGAAAGCGGCUCACUGGACCAUUACUGACGCUGAGGCGCGAAAGCUAGGGGAGCAAACAGG
rnacentral:rRNA from 1 species